GUUUUUAGUGUACUUUGAUUUAAUUUAAUUUAUCUACUCAGUUUAGACACUUUUAUAAUUUUUGGUUCAUUAAUGAAAUUAAUUCUAUGCUUGAAAGUAUAUAUUUUUAGUUUGCUUCAAUUUAGUUUGGCUCAUUUUAAUUAGUUUAAGCACUUUUAUAAUUUUAGUUCAUUAGUAAAAUUAAUCCUAUGUUUGAAAGUUCACGUUUUUAGCUUAAUUUAGUCAAACUCGUUUUAAUUAGUUUAGGUACUUCUAUAAUUUUAGUUCUUUACCUGAAUUGAUCCAUUUUUAGUUUUUGUUUCAAAAUCAUUAAUGUUAGAUCCUGAUCACCCUUAUCUAAAUUUAUAUGCUUUUAAAAUCCUAGCGGUUAGUUCAUGAAUCGAUACCUUGUUAGUUUGUCUAAUCUAGAAUGCUUUGCUUGUUGCUCCAGUGAUCCUUCACUUAAUUUGAUUUCUUUUUCUGAGGCUUUUGGAAACUCAUGAAGAUUAGCCUCCAUUCUCACCUUCAAUUUUAUUGGUUGUCAAAAAUUCUAC
rnacentral:lncRNA from 1 species